UGGGGAAUAUUGGACAAUGGGGGCAACCCUGAUCCAGCCAUGCCGCGUGAAUGAUGAAGGCCUUCGGGUUGUAAAGUUCUUUUGGCGGGGACGAUGAUGACUGUACCCGCAGAAUAAGCUCCGGCUAACUUCGUGCCAGCAGCCGCGGUAAUACGAAGGGAGCAAGCGUUGUUCGGAAUUACUGGGCGUAAAGGGCGCGUAGGCGGUUUAACAAGUCAGGCGUGAAAGCCCCGGGCUCAACCCGGGAAUAGCGUUUGAGACUGUUUUUCUAAGAGUUCGGAAGAGGUAAGUGGAAUUCCCAAUGUAGCAGUGAAAUGCGUAGAUAUUGGGAAGAACACCAGUGGCGAAGGCGGCUUACUGGUCCGACACUGACGCUGAGGCGCGAAAGCGUGGGGAGCAAACAGGAUUAGAUACCCCCGUAGUCCCUGAGCGGGCUGGCAAGGCGCAU
rnacentral:rRNA from 1 species